AGAAUGAAAUGGAGUGGUUACUCUUAAGUCCCAGGAAAACGCAUUACCUCCUAAUCAAACUUUUACCCAAGGAGCCAUUAUAAAUGGAAGAAAAAUACCCCAAAGGAAAAUUCAUGGAGGAUAAGAAAGGACCCCAAUAAUAAAACUAUUUCAUGCAGGCAGUUCUAUUGUGCAGCCAAUGAAAAUAACUCAGGGACUAGUUUGGGAUUUCAUUUUUCUUUCAUGUCAGACUAGUUAGCUCAGCUGGUUACAAGUGUGGUCCCAGUGAGGCCAAGCUAUUAUCCAAGCUGGCUGCCUCUCUGGUGAAAGCUAACAACCAGCUUACCAGCCCCAGCUCCUGUUCACAGGGCAGCCUGGCCUAAGGACUCUAGAGGAAUAAUUUCCAGUUUGUAGAAUGCGAAACACAAUUCAAAGAGUUUUGGCCUGCAAUGAUAGGGUUUUCUUAUUUUUCAAGCUUGUAUAUGUAUAAAAUUGGCCUUUAGAAAAGCAUCGCAGGUGAAGGUAGGGGUUAGAUAGGAGAGAGGAUCACCGAGCUUAUCAGUAUCAUGCUUAUCAUCAUCUUCAUCUUAGUUAUCUUCUACUUCAUCCUCCUCCUCCUCAUUAUUGAUACCAGCAUCAACAUCAUCACUGCUAUCAUGUUCUAAUUAUGAGCCAGGCCCUGGGCUAAACGCUUUAACUGUGUUAUUUAAUCUUCUCAACCAUUUCGUGAGUUUGUCUUGGGUGUCUUCAUCUUAUUGUUAACAAAACUGUGGAUCUAAAAGACUACCGAACACCUGCAAGAACACCCAGUGAGUAAAUUUCAGAGCCUGGAUUCAAAUCGAGGUCUCUCUGAUUCCAAGUUCCUGAUCUCUGCAUCUACACACAUAAGCUAACCUCAGGGCAGUAAGGCUGCCAGCUUCUGUUCUACGCCAGCCUCUGUCCAAAGGUUGGGUUAUCUUUUUCUAACAAAAACUUUUUUUGUGGUAAAGUUUAAAACUCUUUUGAGGAAAACUUUACAGUGACCCAAUUCUUAUGACCUAGAUUCUCUAAGUUAGCUUCCAACGGACACUUACCCUUAAAACAAAUAACAUUAUGAAACAUCCUUCUGUUCAACUCCUCUAAAGAGUGUACCAAGGUCAGUAUAGGCCUAUCUACCAAUAAAAAGAAAACUGCCUCAGACGUCUGACACCCAGCAAUGCUGUGGAGAUAAAUCCUGCCUUUUUACAAGGAAUACCUUGCAAAAUACAUUGAAAAGGGGUGUGUUUGUAACAGUAGCUAACCAUUAUUGAGCAUUUCUCCAUUCUCUUGAGAAAGUCAAUUAUUUAAAUAUUUUAUGCACACACAUAAUUUCUGAGAGUUUACUUAACUGUUUUUUCUUGUAUAUGUGUGGUCUUAGGGGAAGGGAUGGUAUUUUAUCCUUCUCACCAUUGCAGUCCUUGGUACAUAAUAACUGCUUACUCAGCUACUUACUUGAUGAUAUUAACUUAUGACUUACUAUCACAAUAGACUUACUGUUGUUUUUAGGUUAUGAACUCCACAGACAAUGUCUACCUUAAUGAUUACUGUAUCCAUAGCACCCAGCACAGUGCCAGGAAUAUAAGAAGGACUCAUUAUUAAUAACUGAUUAACAUCAAACUAGGACUAAAUCUUCCUUUGUAACCAUUCACCAUGCUGGACACCUAGCAUGUGCUCAAAUAUAUUCUAGAAAUUUCACAGUGACCUUUGGCUGAGAGAUGAAAUUUUUCCUACUUGCUGCUUCUACCUCCCUGGUAAUGGAAUUGUGCUGGUCCAUCCACCCAGGUCUACUCUGUCACUUGAAAUGGGGCUGCCCAUGGAAUGGAACCAAUUGUAGCAAUAACAUCUUAGAGUUUGAAUAAAGGGAAGUAACCCCUACAUGGAUCAAAACCACGACCUUCGCAUCUCCAGUUAUUGCUACAGUAAUAAAAAAAACGUGGUCUCACAAUAACAGAAGGAACGUUUAGGAGCAAGUGAAUACCAUCUGGUCAGAAACUCUAUAUUAAAAUGCUAGAUGCAUCCCAAGCCAGCCUCCUAACACCCCAUUAAAUUAAGUUGUAUUUCCUAAAGUAGGGUCUGAGCUGCCAGGUGGCAUGUAAGGGACAUUUUGAGGGGAAAGGUGUUUUUUAUUGCCAAGAAGCUGAAGUCUAGAAAAUUCAUGGACUGGCUUAAAAAAAAAAAAUCCCCACUCUUUUAUGAGUCUUGAAGGAAGAAAUUUUUCUAUAACCUGAACAGCAAACCUGAUAAUAAAAGGAGAUGGAAAAGUGAGCCUGUUACAUUUAGGAAUGCCAUUUCAUAGCCUGGUAGAGUGGUGAGACACAGAACUUGCUGUUAGUAGACUUGGACAUAUGUAUCUUUGCUUUUGCCUGUGUUGACCUUGGGCAGGUUGAUAACGUUUUUGAGGCUUAGUUUCCCCAUCUAUAAAUGAGGGCUAAAUCUCUUGGCCUAGCACCAUGGGGUGAUGAAACCCUGUGAUCAAAUCUCACGUCCAAGAAUAAUUUCAAUUGUAGAUGUUUGACAUUAUCACUAAAAAAGUUUCAUUUAAUGUUCCUUAGAUAAUAAAAGUUAAUUAUAUGGCUUAAAAUGUAUGUUCUAUUAAUAGACAGCACAAUGCAUUAUAAAUUAAUGUGUGUUUGUGUUUUUUGUAAAUUCUGUAUUUAUCUUGCUUUAACAAAAGCAUAUUACAUCUGGUUAAUGUAAAUAUUUAAGAAUGUAGCACAAUUUUCUGGACUGGGAGUUCCCGUCGUGGCUCAGUGGUUAACGAAUCCGACUAGGAAUCAUGAGGUUGCGGGUUCCAUCCCUGGCUUUGCUCAGUGGGUUAAGGAUCUGGCGUUGCCGUGAGCUGUGGUGCAGGCUGCAGAUGAGGCUCGGAUCCCGCGUUGCCGUGUCUCUGGCGCGGGCCGGCGGCUUCAGCUCGGAUUGGACCCCUAGCCUGGGAAUCUCCAUAUGCCGCGGGAGUGGCCCAAGAGAC
ensembl:lncRNA